rnacentral:lncRNA from 1 species
GUGCCCCUGAGCUGAGCUGGGUGAGUACUCUAGGCAUUCCUGGCAGAGGAUACAGCAGGAGCAAAGGCCUGGAGGCUAAAAAUAGCUUGCGGGCAGGGGAGCUACCAGCAGUUCAGUGCUUCUGGAGUUUAAAGAGCCCGGCGAGGGUCAUGUCAGAUGACGCCGGUCCACGAGAAGGAGGGUGGAUUAUAUCCUUAGAGACGCCAUAGAGUGAGGAUAUAAUGGCUCUGUAACAAGCAUAAACUGUGAUGGUCUGGGAUGCCCUCGUCAUAGACAGCCCCUGGAGAGUCAUAGAGUCUCACUCUGUCGCCCAGGCUGGAGUGCAUUGGCACGAUCUCAGCUCACUGCAACGUCCGCCUCCCGGGUUCAAGGCUUACAAUUAAGUCCAUACCCCCGCCUCCCGCCUGGCUUUCACUUCCUUGCUUUUGGAGAGAAGAUGAAUGGAAAUGUAUGACUUUGUCUGUGGUAUAAAGACAUGGAUUCAAGUUCAGGGUUUGCCAUGGACCUGCCGUGUGACCUUUGGAAGGUCCACAGAAAACAUCCUGGGGUCCUGAGCUGAAGUGUGAUGGGAGGAGUCCUCUGUAUCUCAGUCUGAUCCUGGUCUCCCUCUCGGCCAUGGUCUCACACUAGUGCUGCUGGGAAACCAUCCCUCACAUCCAGUCCUGGCAUCGGGCAGUGACUCUGGUCCAACUGUUGUCCAACUCAAGGGUUUAGCUGCUUAGAUUUUCCUAAAACUUGAAUUUCAUUUUCCUCUAGCCAUGGAAUACAGAUUAAUCCUUUACAAUUAAAAUCCAAGUUCAGAUUUUAUUUGUUGUGGUUUUUAAUUAAAAUCUCACCAGCACUUUGUGGAUUU